AUCCCGACCUGGGUGACUUCGUGGGUGCGCACCCAGCUCUUUGAAGUUCAAGGCCUGAGAAGUCCCUGGGCAGCCGGAUGUCAGAGGAUUCAGCUGGGGUUAAAAGGCGCCUCCUACUGGAGCUGCCUGCCUCCUUAUCCCACCACGCUGCUACCUCACCAGGACCGGAGGGGAGGCCUCAAAAAUGAGAAGAUUCUAUUCUUGGAUCUGCCAGCACUGGGGAUGUUUUGAUUUAAGCUGAGGGUCUCUGCAGGACCCUGGCUCGGAAUACCCACACCUAGAAUUUCCAAGAGCUGGCAGAACAAUGGGCACCCAAAGCUGUUCACAUCUCAGUCUCUGGAACCCAGGACCUUAGGUGGUAGACUGCAGGAUCAAUAUGAGUAUCAGAGGCAGCAGCAGGAUGCGAUGCUCUGUGUGAGUCCCUGUGACAUCUGAACUGCAGUUGCUGAGACCUGAACUGCCCACUCGGGAACACAGGACUCUUUAGAGCAGGCUUGUCUGAUGGACUAUUCCUGAACUCUGGACAUGUGAUGCUUGAAAAUGAGUGUCUAGUGGGGCUUGGUGAUGCAUGCAUGUAAUCCCAGUGCCUUUGGGAACUGAGGCAGGGGGAUCAGAAGAUCAGGGUCACCCUUUUUGAGGAACCACCCUUUGUGUGGUUCUAUCUCAACACACACACACACACACACACCAAAAAUCAAAAACUAAAAAAAAAAAA
rnacentral:lncRNA from 1 species